rnacentral:misc_RNA from 1 species
GCUCUCGAUCAAUGGCUGAAGGACUUAGGCUUCAAGCCUUCCUUGGUUUUAGCGACCAUCUUUGUAGCAAUGGUCCUCAGGUUUCUACCGAAGGAAAAACAAAGGAAAAAAUACCUCAAUCUCCCACCAGGGCCUGGAAAGUUGCCCUUCAUUGGCAACCUUCACCAGCUGGCUAACAUGCCUCACAUAUCUCUCCACCGGUUGGCUCACAAGUAUGGUCCAAUCAUAUUCUUACAGCUUGGUCAAAUCCCAACUGUUGUCAUUUCUUCCUCUAAUUUGGCUAAGCAAGUGCUCAAAGCCCAUGAUCUUGCACUCUGUAGCCGACCUCAACUAUAUUCAGCCAAAUACCUAUUCUACGAUUGCACUGAUAUUGCGUUCGCCCCUUACGGUGCCUACUGGAGGAAUAUUAGGAAAAUUUGCAUACUGGAGCUACUCAGUGCCAAGCGAGUCCAAUCAUUUGGCUAUGUCAGAAAAGAAGAAGUUGCUCGUUUGGUUGCUCGGAUCGGAGAGUCUUAUCCUGACACCACCAAUCUAAGCAAGAUGAUUGGACUAUAUGCAAAUGAUGUCCUUUGUAGGGUGGCUCUUGGAAGGGACUUCUCACGAGGAGGGGAGUAUGAUCGGCAUGGCUUCCAGAAGAUGCUCGACGAUUACCAAGCGCUGCUUGGAGGAUUCAGUCUUGGAGACUAUUUUCCUUCCAUGGAAUUUGUGCACAGCUUAACAGGAAUGAAGUCUAAACUCAUCAACACCUAUAGACGUUUCGAUCAGUUCUUCGAUGGGGUCAUUAAUGAACACCGUAAUAAUUCCGAGGGAAAACUAGAGGAGCAGAAGGACCUUGUAGAUGUCUUACUUGAUAUACAGAAGAAUGGAUCUUCUGAUAGUGAUACGCCUCUUACCAUGGAUAACGUUAAAGCUGUGAUCUUGGACAUGUUUGCUGCUGGAACUGAUACAACUUUCAUAACGCUUGAUUGGACAAUGACAGAGCUGAUCAUGAAUCCCAGAGUCAUGGAAAAAGCACAAGCUGAAAUAAGAAGCAUUGUUGGGGAGAGAAAAGUUGUGCAAGAGAGUGAUCUGCUUCAGUUUCACUAUAUGAAAGCUGUGAUCAAAGAGAUCUUCCGAUUACAUCCUCCUGUCCCAGUUUUAGUCCCAAGAGAAUCCUUGGAAGAUGUUGUGAUUGAUGGGUACGAUAUCCCCGCCAAAACACGAAUUUAUGUCAAUGUCUGGGCAAUGGGAAGGGAUCCAGAACAAUGGGAAAAUCCAGAAACAUUUCAACCAGAAAGAUUUAUGGGCAGCAGCAUAGAUUUCAAAGGGCAGGGUUUUGAAUUGAUACCUUUUGGAGCUGGUAGAAGAAGCUGCCCAGCUAUCACAUUUGCAACAGCAACCGUUGAGCUUGCUUUAGCCCAACUUCUCCACAGCUUUGAUUGGGAACUCCCUCCUGGAAUAAAAGCUGGUGAUAUAGAUAAUACUGAAGCUUUUGGCAUCUCAAUGCACAGGAUAGUUCCUCUGCACGUCAUUGCCAAACCACGCUUCCAGUAAGGCAGCAAUAAAGAAGACUAUAGCGAUUCUUCUUCUUGUAAAGUAUUAUAAGAACUGAAGAUAAGCUAUGCAAGUUUUCGAAUGCAUAAAUAAAGAAUUGGCUUAUCUUGAUCGGUGCAAAUGAUUCACAUUACGAUGAAAUGUGUCCAAAUUUAACCAUCAC